AGAUGAUCUACCAUAGCUCGUCUAUGGUCGAGUUAUGCUCUCCACCGAUUGAUCCCUCUCUCCCUCUCUUAAAUUAAGAAAGUCUGAAUAGAUUAGAUUCCUCCACGAUCGAGUCUUCUGUAAAAGAAAAAUAUCUCAUCUGAAUCAAUCUACACGAUAAAUCUAAAAAAUUAUUAGAACUCCGAAAUAUAUACGACUCUAAUUUCUCCUCUAUAAAUAAAGAGGUUUUAGAAUCCUCAAAGUAAGCUCUCGACUCUCUACUCUCCUCUUAUUAUUCUCUAUCUCCUAACUUGAGCAUCGGAGGAUCUUUAUCAGAGAACACCCUAGUGAGGACUUUUUAUCAAUAUUCAGGUAGAGCUCCAGUAGUGGUCUCUUCCUCGGCCAUCUCCACCUCGAUAGCCGAUCUCAGGCAGAGAGCUCCGGAGCAACACUUGGUGCUAGAGGAAAGGGCCUCGACUGAUUUCAAGCUCCUAUUUCGAGAGGAGAGAGCUCACCACCAGCCACCAUGAGGAUAUGAAAGAAUGCAUCGAACGCGUCGCAACACUCCAACAGCAAGCAAACCAACAAUGUCAUGCCGACCCAUGCACCACUACCAUCGAUAUAGGAGAACCCCCAACCAGCAGCACCAACGGUCUCUCAGGAUCAACAUAACAGCCUUGUCCAACAAGGGCA
rnacentral:lncRNA from 1 species